rnacentral:misc_RNA from 1 species
CCGACUGGUUGGAUCCCUACUUGGGUAGCGACGUCCUCUCGUGCAUUCCUCUUCAAUUUUCGGCACAGGAGCUUCUUUGGCCCUGGUCGAGUUGUUGGUUUCCUGUACUGCAUACCUACAUCGAUGGAAUUUGUCGGCCAAUUUUUCCCGAGUUCUCCUACUGCUGCCCGUAAUUGGCGGGUGCGGCUUUCGGGUGAACCUCAACGCGAAAUUCGUGUUCCGACUUGCAUACAGUUGCUAUGCAGUCACGGCCCAUGAGCGUAGCGCGACUUCGGGGACCCAGAAAACACCNAGGGUAAGGGGUCUUGGACCUCUCUAUUUGCCCCAAAUCGGCAUUACACGCCCCAUUCGAUUGACUUUCGGUGUCGUAUGGACGUUUUACGUCUUGCGACUCGAUGUCGCCGAGGAAUGCUACCUGGUUGAUCCUGCCAGUAGUCAUAUGCUGUCCAAA